UAGCACAUGUAUACACAUGUACUACAUCAUAGCUAGCACAUGUAUAUGAGUUGUAUAGUAGGUGUAAUUAGGUGUAUGGCAACUAAUAGAUUAGGUGAAUUAGUAUUAUAAAUAGGCCUUGUAAUCUUCUCUUCUAGAUAUGAAAUAUAGAACUUCUUUGGUUUCUAACAACUUACAACCCGCAAAUCUAUUCAUACAUUGGAAACAUGAACUGCAGACUAAAUGGGUAGGUAAAGUUUCGUGAAAAAUUAACUUCAUGCCAUCCAGAGUGCAUCAAUCUCUCUGACUUCUUUCAGAAAUAUAGCACCUCAUAAAAAACAUCAGUACAAGCGUGCUUGAAAUUCCUACAGGUUACAUCAGCCUGAAUAUACUUUCACAUACCGAUAUUAAGUUAACUCCUUCUAAAGUUUAUAUUUAUCACAAAUCACAAUCAACAUGUCUUAGUGUUUAUUCACUCAUUUGAUUUAUGGCUUCAAAUACCCUGUAGUUGCACAUUUAGCUGGUUAAUCGAUUUCGUUUCGUUAAUCUAGUAUCAUCUGUAUCAGCAUUAUAAACAUGUAAUUUGUGAUUUAUGACUAACAAUAAACAUUUGAGCAAAAAUUGCAUUAACGGGAGUGAAUUUCGAAACGACUAAUAUUAGAAUUGUAACUAGCAACUGCAAAAAAAAAAAAAAAAAAAAAAAAAAAAACUAUA